GGUACCUGUGGUGAAAUACUGCACACAGCUUUUAGUGCCAGCUGUGCACAGAUCAGGUAUUGAUUCUCAGUGCUCAUAAUGAUCCUUGACUUUCUGCUGAAAGAUUUAGUGUGCAGUGGAAAUAGAUACAUACUGCAAUAAGUACCGAAACUCCCUUCAAAAUCAGCCACAUAAGCAUUUCAGAUGUUAUCAAGAGUCCUUAAACAACUUGAAAAUGAGUGUAAAUCUAUUUCUAGCUUUUCAGCACAAAUGAUGGAGACUUUAACUUGAUGUAGAAGAAAAGCCAUAGCAUCUUGUUCUGCAGUCAAAUAAUUGGUAACAUGCUUCUCUUCAUGGGAUAGGUACUAAACUCACAAUGAAAGCAGAUUUUGACCUGCAGUUACUAACAGAUUGAUUACAGGCUGGAAUAAUUAACUGUUGCAGUUAGAGCUGCAGAACACAGAGAAGUUUACAAACAUGAAUCUAUGUCUGAUUUUGACUCAGUGCAAAUAGUAGUAUGUUCUAGCACAGCAGCAUUCCUUGGGCGCUUUGUUCUUUAAAGAUACUCAAGCUGUUGAACUGGUGAUGUAACUGUGAGGCCAGCUUUCACAACGCCGUGUUUUGAAACCCUUGUGCCAACCCAGAGCUGCCUGCCCUACCAGCAGGUGCUGCUGGGGGGUUCUGCAGAGCAGCAAUUGCUGCCACUGGUGUCAGUGAGGGCUGAGAGCAGGGCUGAUGCUCAGGUGUGACGCUGCUGUAUUCCUGAAGCCGAGGUAAAAUCCUAAGCUUAUCGGUGUCCUCAUAUGAUGGUGUUGGUAAAACGGUCUCACCCAGCCGUGGCUGUGCAGCAGCCUUCUCUGCAGCGUGGUGGUUCACGUUGCUCAGAUUGCACUGAAAUGUCAGUGCUGAGCAGAGCUUCGGAGGAGCAGGCCUCUGCCCUGCCUGCCUCUGGUUUGUGCCUCUAGCACGAGCGAUGGCAAGUCGCCCUGUGCUGCUGGAUUGUGAACUCGCUGUCGGCGCAGCCUGGACUGGGUGAGCGCCCAGCGGAACUGGCGGUGGGCUCUGUGUCUUUCUCUGCAGCCCUGCUGGAUGGCUGCCACCUGCACAUUAACUCUCACAACCUGGUGCUACGUCUGCUGCCACACAAAUCUGCUUUUUUUAUUUUCACGACUUUUACAAAUCUUACGGAAAGUUUAUAAUGCAAUUUUAUUUUUCCAGAUUACGUGAAUUUAUAAGAUGUCUUUAUCACUGAUUGAUAGAAACGUUUAGUACUCGUACUUCUCGGUGUACCAUAUAUUUUAAUAAAUUUGCAUAUUCUUACAUUAGAGUUGGCUAACACCUUGAUUUCCUCCCUGAUCACUCUCCCUCUAAUCCUGGACAGCUGGAAGCACUUGGGGACUGGACUGGGGCUAUGAGACAGAGCAGCAGGGCUCGCUGGAGCUAGAAUGUGGGUAUUAAACAGUGCUUGAUUUGAUUUCUUCUCUUCCUCUUGCCCUGUUUUUUGUAGCAUAGACCAUUUAGAGUCUCUAAAAGAGUUUGGCCAGUGUGGAUUUCAAGUUAUUUGCGUUGUUCACUGCAGAUCUGUUUGGGAGUCUGCAGGAGGUGGGCUAACUCUGGCUGAGUGCGAGGUGCAGGCUGAGCUGCUCUCGCUCCCUCAGGAGGACAAAAUACUGCAGAGAAGGUCAUGGGUCAGGAUGGGGGCAGGGAGAGCGCUCAGCAGUUGUGGCCAAAACAACUUCACCUGCAGGAAGAUUAAUUUAUUGUCGCUUCAUAUUGAAGGAUGGUGAGAACUGAAUACUGCAACUGCCAUAAAUCUAUCCUCAGGCUCUGUCAAGGUCAUGAGAUGGGAGAAACCACAACUGCACUGCACUCGUGGCUGACAUUAGGAUGGGGCAGAGAAAGGCCUUGCAUUUUCUGUCUUUAGUGUUGAUUUUCACUGCUGCUGAUCUGUGUUCUGAAAAUGAUCUGACAGUAACCAGGAUGGCUUUCUGGCCCCAAUUCAAAUAGUCUGCUUGUACGUUUUUAUUCUGUGCCUGUUAAUUUGCAGCUGGUGAUAUUUGGUGUAAUCACUGUGCAGAGCAGCUUUCACUGUAACGUUGAACAUGGGCUUUUCCCCUCAGUUGAUAGCCUGUUCAGUUACACCACCUCCAGUUUGGCAGGGCAGCUGUGCUGGUGAGCCUGCCCUGCUGCCAGGUGAGUGCAGGCUGGUACAGGGAGCACAGCCUCGUGGGCACCAGCACCACUCAGCCUCUUCAGUUGUGGGGAGGCUUCAGGGUCUGCGCGCUGUGUGACAGGACUGUGACAAAGUGCAGGGAGCUUGAAGUGUGCUGAGUAGGAGAAGGUGAGAGGGAAAUGUAAAGACAAAUAGCACAGGAAAGAGUGAACUGUCAUCCUAGAACUGAGCAAAGCAAGCUUUUCUACUAUGGGCACCUUACAAGAGCGAGCACAUCAGUGACUGGUUAUCUUUUUCUUUAAGGAAAUAGGCGGAUAACUGCUGGUGGCUUAAGCUAACAGAAGUGAUAUGAAGCAGCAUUUAGGACACAGCUGUUUUCUGUCAAAAGGAGAUAGCGGCAUACAGCAGUGAGGAACCUCAUCCCAAGGGAGAUGAUGAUGAACUGCGCGUUUUUUGUCUGCUCCUGGAACAAAAGGUAUUCGUGUGAGCUCAGGGCUUUGGGGAAGCUGCGCUCUUGCAUGGUCUCCACAUCCAGCUUUAAGAACUGCUGACACAUCCCUGUAAAUGUUCAGUGCACAAUGCAGUCCAACAGCUCUGCAGGUGCUGAUCUCAGUCGUCUGCUUUUGGCUGAGUCCUGCCUUGGCUUUCAGCACAAAGCAUUUCAACUGACUCAAGCAACAGCUUUCCCCCUUUUUUUUUUCCUUUCACAUGACCUGUUCAAGUGAAUUGAAUUAAAUAAAAGCAUACGUAAAUGUUUGCAGAAUUUCAGUUUGCCCCAGUCUUAAUGUGAAUUUCAUUAGCUUUCCUGAAGGCCGCCUGACUUACCUGAAUUGUCCUAACGAGGGCUCCUUUAGGAAUGGAAAGGAAAUGAAACCUAUCUCCACACGCUGAGAACUGGGGGAAGCAAACCCCUUAUGGAAGGGGACAAGCUCUGAAGAAGGAAAGCAAUUCUGUGAUCCUGAGGCACAAUGGCACAAGAUAACCAAGCAUCUACCUUGGCUGGUGCUUUCAAAAUAAAACCACCUUUUUUCCCUUAGUAACUCAGUGUAAGGUCACACGUGUGAAAACACAAGUACUGUGGAAGCAAAGUUUAAGGUGCUUCCCUAGCUUGAAGCAGUUAAUCUUUGGCAUUUCCAGCCUGUUCCCAAAAUGGGUUAUACUUUGAGUAAUUCUGAAAAUUUCAAUUUUAAAUUAGCAGGAACUGCAGCAAUGUAAAUGCUCGCUUGGCUUAAAUAUGGUGAUGAUAGAAAUAUCAGUGCUUUUCCUUUCAGGCUUUCAAAAAAGACAGAUCCAAUAAACCUGCCUGCUGCAGCCUGAGAGAAUGAAAGGCAAGUAAAAAUCCUUUGGCUUUGGCUGCACCUCAGAAUGAAGUCAUGAGCCUGGAUGUGUGAACGCCCUACCAGGAGCAGCUCAGCUGAGUGGGGCUGAUCAGUUUGAGUGGAAGUAAGUUUUAAAGAGAAAGGAGUUGCAGCAGGGCUGUGCUGAACCGCAGCGCUGUUGGCAAACUCUGCUCUUUAGACGGCUUUCCAAAACGCGCAGUGAAGAUGUAGGGAAUAAUUACAGAUCUUCCGUUAGCAACCCAACUUCAAGAAAGCAGCAGUCUAGAAAAAAACAGGCAGAAAACUACAUUCUGAGCAGCUUUCUGAACACCUGCUUAGCACAGAUGUUUGAAAACACUGCGUCUUACAAAGCCUGAAUCUGGCUGUAACUUCGUUACCACUUUCCCUUCUUGUGGCAGAGAAGGCACAGGUCGCACUGCAGUAGCUGCCAGUACUUACGUAUAUGUAAAAUGCUACGAUGGAUACAUUUUUGAAGUCAAGUGCUGCAUCGAUCUCAUCCAUAAAAUACAGUGGUGUUGGCUUGUAAUGAUGAAGUGCAAAAACUAGAGCCAGUGAACUGAGAGUCUUCUCUCCUCCUGAUAAGUUAAAUAUCUUCUUCCAGCUUUUCUUGGGAGGCCGAACGCUGAAACAAAAUCAGUUUGUAAAUUACUUCUGCUCAUGAAUCAAGGAACAGGCCGUGCUGACGAGCCACAAGGCAGCAGGGAGGUCGUGGAGCAGCUCCCUGGGCACACACAGCUACGUGUCAGCUGCUGCCUGCCUGGGCUGGAGCUGCUGCGACACUCGUUUGUUCUCUGUGGGACCUGCAACAUUGAAGAACUACUAUUUCAUUAUGUUUCAAAAGUGUUGUUCUAUUCUUAAAGUAAUGAAUAUACUUGAGGGCUAUAUAUAUAUAUAUUGAUGGCAGAACCAUGUCUGCUUGCCACUGUGAUCUGACAUGAUUCCUCGGGCAAAUGAAAUGGUGUGGGAAACAAGAAACCUGGAACAUUACUUUGAAAUCAAAGCUUUCUAACUGUUGUUUGUUAGUUCUGUGUUUCCUGAAGUGAAAUGAAUAUUACUCAGAGCUAAAAGGUUGUGGCUUCUGUGAGUAUCUUGCCAGUAUUUGCCAAGAGAUGGGACUACCAUGGUUAGCUGUGAAGUUUACUGUAAAAAUGGGUUUUCAAAAGGCAAUACAGUGCCGAGGAAUUGCAGCCACAAUGCCAAGUAUUUUCACAUACCUGAACAUGAUUCCCUCAGAGAAGGGAUCCAGGCUGUCUACGAGUUCUAACUCAGCAUCUCCUCCCAAAGUCAGCAUCUGGUAGUUCUCCUUCAGUUUAUUUGUUAUUACAUUAAAUCCUGCCAUAAAUUCA